UUCUUAUUGCAUUCUCUUUCA
ensembl:piRNA 21ur-11428 ncRNA